UUGCCAGUGCUGCAGGCAGUUAAUGGGUGUGUGUGGUUGCCAUGACGCCGAGGGCUGUGGAUGUGUACAUGUCUAGCUAUUUCUGCAGUUCAAACCCGUUCCUGGAGAAAACUUGGAGAGGAAACACGUUGAUAACAAUAAUGGAAAAUGAAGGAUCUGGAGAAGACACUGAUGACCUGCUGUCUGCAGAGGAGUAUGAGGGGUUUGAUGUUUAUGGUCUUAUACCUUUGUCAUUGUCUCAUGAUCACUGUGAUGUUCUGCUGGACUCCAUAGACACGCAGCUGAGUCAUCUACAGAUCCAUAGCCAAAACCGAAUGCAUGGAGGAAACCCCAAAAUAUAUGAAUUUCCUUUCUUGGGCUAUCUUGAUCGGAGUCAUUCUGUCAGUAAAGACACAGGCUUGGGGAGCACUGUUCAAACCAAUGAUAAAACACCAUCCAACCUUGGCGAGACUCAGUCAGAAAGCAAAGAUGACCAAACAGAACAUCAGACAAAGGAGAUGAUAGAGGUUGGAGUCCCAGCUACAGAUGUGUGGUGUCCUGAGGGAAGGGGCAGCUUGAGCUCUGUGUCCAGGGUAGAGCAGUGUUGUUGGAGACUGGAGAAGCUUCUCGGGAUAAAUACUGAGGUGGCAGGGAUGGGAAACGAGGAGGACGACCUCACAAUGGACAGCAUCUGCACUGAAGACUUCUCAACACGCUUUAGAGAGGAAAUGCUUGUCCCGUCGGCUUCAGGUAUUCCAAUGCAGAGUUUUGAUUCGGUCACCAUAGACACUGAUUUGGAGACAGUGAGCUCUGAACAGGUUCAACAGCACCUGAACUCUGCACUAAGCAACAGGACAGGUACAGCCUUUCAUCUGAGCAGAGAAAACGGAUACUGUACAGGACAAACCAACCAAAUACAAAACAGUAUUCAAUCCUUCAGCUCUGAUGAUGAGAGAACUGUUGAGGAGACGAGUAGUGAAGGUGCUGUGUCGAAGCUUGACUACAGAAGAAGGAGACAUUCAUCAGGCAGGAAGGGGAAGAGGAGGCGUUUGUACCAAAACAAAAGGAAUGACUCCUACAUUGGCACAAAGAAAGAUCGGGGCAAGAGCAGAAUAGAUGAAGAUCAGCUCAAAGAGCUGAGCAUGUCACUUACUGAGAUUCAACGGGAAAAAAACACCACACUUCAUACUCUGAAGAAGCUGAGAGAGGAAGUGGAUCGAGCUGAGAGAGAGCAUCUCUCUCUCCAGCUCAAUGUGAAGGACAGCAGAGCACAGGCUCAGGACAUCACGUGUGAGCUACAAAGACUGCAGGCCCAGAGGAACUUAUUCUUGAAGGAGGUCAGGGUUCUGCAGGAGCAACAGUGUGCAAGCCGCAGUGUGUCUGUUCUGGAAAGGGAAGAGAUGGACAGACUGCUGGGUAAUGCCAAGUCAGAACUGUUCUCAGAACAGAGGCGUUUCAGACACAAACUGGACUCUGCGCAUGAGAGGCUGGAUGAGGUGAAUCAGGAGCUGGAGCAGAGCGAGGAGGACUGCAGGGCUCUCCGACAGAAAUGCACUGAGCUGGAGGAGCAGCUGGCUGAUGCUCUCAGAGAAAAAGAACAAAUAAAGGAGACUUCUCAGAAAGAUCUAGAGCAACAGGUGAAGUGUUUGGGAGCGCUGGAGCGAACAGUUGCUCAGAAGGAGCUGCUUUUACAGAGAACAGAAGACGCAAAGGAAGGCCUUCUUCAGGAGCUCUGUUCACUGAGAGAGGAGCACAGCUUUAAGCUGAGAGAAAUGCAGAACAAGAAAGAGCAAGAGAUUGAGCAACUGACAUUACAGUUAACCAAAAGCCACAAAGAGGAGCUUCAAAAGGUGCAUCAGCAGGCGGAUAAGUUGAGAUCAGCUGCUCUCAGUGAACAAGCUCAGAGCCUGGACGUCUUACACAACUGCAUCCAGAUGAAAGAUGAGGAGAUAAAGAGACUGAAAGAGGUUCUAGAGCAGCAUGAGGAGAAGAUGAGGAAGCAAGCAGAGGAACUCAAUAGAGAAACUCAGGAAAAGAUUCGAAAGGCUGUGAAACGAGAGGAAAGGAAAUGGGAGGAACAGAGAGAGAAGGCUCUUAAAGAGCAGCGUGGGCCUCUGGAGCAGCAGAUAGAGGAGGCAGUGAAGAGAGGGAAAACAGAAGUGGAGAAGGAGAGAAGGAACACACUGGCCUUACAGAGGAAAGUGACGGAGCUUCAGAAAAAGGCAGAGAUGGAGAUGGUGCAUCUGAAGCAAACUUUGCAGCGGUCUGAAAAGGAGCUUCAGGAGCUGAAGAAAGCCCUCUCUGAGAAAGACCAAAAACACCAGAGAAGAACAGCCAGACUUGAGCAGCAGAGCCAACGCUGGGCGCAGGACAUACACAGCGAGUGUUUUCGCUUGCAGGAGUUACUGGCUGUUGACAACAAGAACUCUUCAGACAGUCCUACAGUGAGUGAAACUCUUCAGACUCUGCAGACCCUCACAAAAGCCCUACAGCAGCAUAUUAAUGAUCUAAAAGAUGAGCUCAACUCUCAGAGAUGUGCUGCGAUGCAACUCAGCCGAGAAAAGGAACAAGAGCUUCAUCUGCAGAAACAGCAGUUGAUGGAUGAAAAGGAAGUAGCACUGGCUGCUCUAAAAGAGAAACUCAUACAGGAGCACAUCGAGGAAAUGAGCAGCAUAUCUCGAGCACAGCUGCAGAUGAACCAUGAUGACACAGACGAACUGUGUGUCCAUCUGCGCAGGCAGCUGCAGGCCAAAGAUGAUGAGCUCAGACGGUUGAAGAGCAACAUGACACAGGGGAAAGACAAAACCACUGCAAGACUUGCACAUAAAUUUGAGCUGGAGCUUAAAGCAGAGAUUGAGAGGAGGGUCCCGAAGCCCCGAGCAGAGCAGCAGAAGAGACUGGAAAGACUGGAGAAUGAAAUGAGACAUCUGACUGGGCAAUGCCAAGACUACAACGAAUACCAAUCGGCCUCCACUGCUCUUCAGGGUGGCACAGACUUCCAAAACUCUGGAGUAACCCAAGACCCGACCUCAUAUAAACUGCUACAGCACCUCCAGAGUCGCAUUCGUCAGCUUCGAGCAGAGAGCCAAACCCGCUGCCCCAGGCCAGUGAAGUGGGACAGGGAUCCCACAGACCUGGGUGGGUCUUAUCUGGACACGAUUGUUCCAGCCCUGGACAGCUAUAAGACUGAGGAGCAUUUACCUGCAAAGACCGUCUCCAGUUAG
ensembl:lncRNA